rnacentral:rRNA from 1 species
UGAGUAACGGCGAGCGAAAAGGGAAGAGUCCAGCGCCGAAUCCCGCGCUCUCAGGGGCGUCGGGAAAUGUGGCGUUUGGGAGCGAGCGUGACCGGGGGUUCUGCACGGCAGCAAGUCCCCCUGACAGGGGCUCUUUUUCCCAAAGCGGGUGCCAGGCCCAUAGCUGCCGGGCGUCCUCCGGAAUGCGAACUCCUCGGAGUCGGGUUGCUUGGUAGUGCAGCCCAAAGCGGGUGGUAAACUCCACCUAAGACUAAAUACCGCCGUGAGACCGAUAGCAAACAAGUACCGUGAGGGAAAGUUGCAAAGAACUUUGAAGAGAGAGUUCAAGAGUACGUGAAACUGUUCAGAGGAAAACAGGUGGGCCCACGAAAUCCUGUGGCGGAAGGAUUCAGUCCGUAUGGUCCCGGGCCGCUUCGGAGUUUCAGAGAGGCAUCCCGCGACGGGACCGCUCCGAGGCCAAGUCCGGGUGCUCGACGGACGCAUUUCCUUUCCGUCCUAGCGGGACGUCGCAACGGGUUGGCGGGACGGCCUUAAGGGCGGAGCAAUGGCAGUUGGCGGUGGAUCGGCCCUUCCAUGGGCUCUUUCCGCUCGUCUCUAGCCGUUCCGUCGCACGGCCGAAACCCGACCCUGGUGUCACUAGGCCCCACAUCAUGGGCCUCCGCGUCUCCUCCUUUGAAAUGCGAGGCGAGGCGGCAGGUGAGGCGUCGCCGCGGCACAGGCGCACGGACCGCGUUCCGUGGCCGGCUGCGCGGCGUCCCCGCUGGCUGCGUGCGACUCGUCGGAGGCAUG